AGAGAAAUGGUAAAUGAUUUCCAAUUUUAUAGGCCGCGAAAGAUAAGUACCGUGAACUGGCCAUUGAAGGGAUGCACAGAGACCUCGUGUUCCGAUUCAUUGAAGUUCAGACACUUCUCUUGGCUCCAUUCUGCCCACAUUUGUGUGAGCACAUCUGGACACUCCUGGGAAAGCCUGACUCCAUUAUGCGUGCAUCGUGGCCUGUCGUGGGUCCUGUGGAUGAUGUCUUGAUACGUUCCUCACAGUAUCUCAUGGAGGUCGCACAUGACCUUAGGCUGCGACUGAAGAA